rnacentral:rRNA from 1 species
UACAGAGGUGGCAAGCGUUGUUCGGAAUUACUGGGCGUAAAGGGCGCGUAGGCGGCCAUCUAAGUCAGACGUGAAAUCCCCCGGCUUAACCCGGGAACUGCGUCCGAUACUGGAAGGCUUGAAUCCGGGAGAGGGAUGCGGAAUUCCAGGUGUAGCGGUGAAAUGCGUAGAUAUCUGGAGGAACACCGGUGGCGAAGGCGGCAUCCUGGACCGGCAUUGACGCUGAGGCGCGAAAGCCAGGGGAGCAAACGGG